UUUUGGACAAUGGGCGCAAGCCUGAUCCAGCAAUGCCGCGUGCAGGAUGAAGGCCUUCGGGUUGUAAACUGCUUUUGUACGGAGCGAAAAGGUUUCCACUAAUACUGGGGGCUCAUGACGGUACCGUAAGAAUAAGCACCGGCUAACUACGUGCCAGCAGCCGCGGUAAUACGUAGGGUGCAAGCGUUAAUCGGAAUUACUGGGCGUAAAGCGUGCGCAGGCGGUUAUGUAAGACAGAUGUGAAAUCCCCGGGCUUAACCUGGGAACUGCAUUUGUGACUGCAUAGCUAGAGUACGGUAGAGGGGGAUGGAAUUCCGCGUGUAGCAGUGAAAUGCGUAGAUAUGCGGAGGAACACCGAUGGCGAAGGCAAUCCCCUGGACCUGUACUGACGCUCAUGCACGAAG
rnacentral:rRNA from 1 species